GAGACAAGCAUAUGACUACUGGCAGGAUCAACCAGGUAGCAAUCCUCCUCGACGUCGCCCCUCGCCCCUCCAGGGGCGGGGGGCGGCCGUCAUACAUUUACUUCGCUUGGGACCGGGACGUGAGAGCGUGUCCUCGUCCACUUAGUGCACUGGGUCCGAGAGCAUUGCACGCCCCCAUGGGCCACCCGACCGUCGAAGGCUCGGUGGAACACAGGGGGUGCUUCGUUGUCCUCCUGCGCCCGUUGGAAGGCGCCGGAUGGAGGCUAACAGUCAAGUGGCCUGCUUCCCUUGAAGGGGUAGGCGACACAAGAACCAGCCUCUGAGGCACCAUCCCACCUUGCAACAACCGACGCGGAUUGCCUGCCGACCGUUCGGUGGACGAGCACGGAGCCGGCCGGCAGAGACAAUCCAAACACCACUCAC
rnacentral:misc_RNA from 1 species